UACGGAGGGUGCGAGCGUUGUCCGGAAUCAUUGGGCGUAAAGGGCGCGUAGGUGGCCCCUCAAGCGUGCGGUGAAAGUCAGGGGCUCAACCCCUGAUCGGCCGGUGCGAACUGGGGAGCUUGAGCACUGUAGAGGCAGGCGGAAUUCCGGGUGUAGCGGUGGAAUGCGUAGAGAUCCGGAAGAACACCGGUGGCGAAGGCGGCCUGCUGGGCAGUUUUGCUGACACUGAGGCGCGACAGCGUGGGGAGCAAACAGG
rnacentral:rRNA from 1 species